UGAAACUGUGAAAAUCCCGGGAAAACCGGCUCAAAUACGGGAUAAUCUUUUUCCCCACGUGGAGAGAGGGAAAAAGGGGUUUGGGUGUCUCUUUAAGAUGGGGCCGCGGGGCAUUAGAUUGUUGGGGGAGUGAAGGGUCUCACAGGGGACGCGUGGUGUACCCGUCGUGAGGGGGAGAGCGCCCACAGGGACUCUGAAAAAGGCCCCAGAUUUACAGGGGACGGAGCUAUAGAUAUUCUUCCAAAAUGCAGGAGACUUAGGGGACGACGCGGGUUGAAGAUUGGGGUUCUCGGGUCUCGUAAAUUUGUUGUCGAGAAGAGAAGCGACCCCUGGAGAUGAGCGCGCAUUGUGACGCUUUCUCACAAAAAAGCCGCUUAAUUAGACCCACCAGCCGGCGGUAAAAAGGUGGGGGGUGAAGCGUGUUCGGAAAAUUUUUGUGGGGAAAAGGGCGCCGCGGAGGGUUUUUUUUAUGUCUGAUGGUGAAAACCCCCCGGCUCAACCCCGGAGGGCCUUUGUAAAACUGGUGAACCUUGUGUGCGGAAAAAGAAGAGUGGUAAUUCCCCCGUGGUGGCGCGGAAAUUGCGUAGAAGAGGUGGAGGAAAAACCACGUGGCGAAGGACGGCUCUCCUGGCCUGUAACUGACGACUGAGGAGGCGAAAGCGUGGGGAGCGCACAGGGUUAUUAUACCCCGGUGAGUCCUCCGCCGCCAAACGAAGAAGUGCUACGUGUUUAGAGGGUUUUCCGGCCCUCUUAGUAGCUGCAGAUUAACACCUUUAUGACCCCCCGCCCGGUGGAGGAACGCCCGCCAGGCUUGAAAAUUCAAAGAAAUUAAUGGGGGGCCCCCCUCAAGCGCGGUAUCAUUUGGUUUUUAUUUCUAAGCAACCGCGAAGAAACAUUACCACGGGUCUGGUCAUCCUCUUACCUCCCUAAGAAAGAUAUGGGCUUUCCCUCUCUCGGGACACAAAUUACAACAGGUGCUACAUGGUU
rnacentral:rRNA from 1 species